AUGAACGCUAGCGACAGGCUUAACACAUGCAAGUCGAGGGGCAUCAUGAGGUAGCAAUACCUUGAUGGCGACCGGCGCACGGGUGAGUAACGCGUAUGCAACCUGCCCGAUACCGGGGUAUAGCCCAUGGAAACGUGGAUUAACACCCCAUAGUACUUUUAUCCUGCCUGGGAUGGGAGUUAAAUGUUCAAGGUAUCGGAUGGGCAUGCGUCCUAUUAGUUAGUUGGCGGGGUAACAGCCCACCAAGACGAUGAUAGGUAGGGGUUCUGAGAGGAAGGUCCCCCACAUUGGAACUGAGACACGGUCCAAACUCCUACGGGAGGCAGCAGUGAGGAAUAUUGGUCAAUGGACGAGAGUCUGAACCAGCCAAGUCGCGUGAGGGAAGACUGCCCUAUGGGUUGUAAACCUCUUUUAUAAGGGAAGAAUAAGUUCUACGUGUAGAAUGAUGCCUGUACCUUAUGAAUAAGCAUCGGCUAACUCCGUGCCAGCAGCCGCGGUAAUACGGAGGAUGCGAGCGUUAUCCGGAUUUAUUGGGUUUAAAGGGUGCGUAGGCGGUUUAUUAAGUUAGUGGUUAAAUAUUUGAGCUAAACUCAAUUGUGCCAUUAAUACUGGUAAACUGGAGUACAGACGAGGUAGGCGGAAUAAGUUAAGUAGCGGUGAAAUGCAUAGAUAUAACUUAGAACUCCGAUAGCGAAGGCAGCUUACCAGACUGAAACUGACGCUGAUGCACGAGAGCGUGGGUAGCGAACAGGAUUAGAUACCCUGGUAGUCCACGCCGUAAACGAUGCUCACUGGUUCUGUGCGAUAUAUUGUACGGGAUUAAGCGAAAGUAUUAAGUGAGCCACCUGGGGAGUACGUCGGCAACGAUGAAACUCAAAGGAAUUGACGGGGGCCCGCACAAGCGGAGGAACAUGUGGUUUAAUUCGAAGCAACGCGAAGAACCUUACCAGAUCUUGACAUCCCUCUGACCGUCCCGUAAUGGGGACUUUCCUUCGGGACAGAGGAGACAGGUGGUGCAUGGUUGUCGUCAGCUCGUGUCGUGAGAUGUUGGGUUAAGUCCCGCAACGAGCGCAACCCCUAUCUUAUGUUACCAGCACGUUAUGGUGGGGACUCAUGAGAGACCGCCGCGGACAACGCGGAGGAAGGUGGGGAUGACGUCAAAUCAUCAUGCCCCUUAUGGCCUGGGCUACACACGUACUACAAUGGCGUCUACAAAGAGCGGCAAGCCUGUGAAGGCAAGCGAAUCUCAUAAAGGGCGUCUCAGUUCGGAUUGAAGUCUGCAACCCGACUUCAUGAAGCUGGAAUCGCUAGUAAUCGCGAAUCAGAAUGUCGCGGUGAAUACGUUCCCGGGUCUUGUACACACCGCCCGUCACACCAUGGGAGUUGGAUAUGCCCGAAGUCAGUGACCCAACCGUAAGGAGGGAGCUGCCGAAGGUGGAGCCGAUAACUGGGGUG
rnacentral:rRNA from 1 species